rfam:Homo sapiens chromosome 12, GRCh38 reference primary assembly.
GCCAGGCAUGGUGGCGGGUGCCUGUAAUCCCAGCUACUCAGGAGGCUGAGGCAGGAGAAUCGCUUGAACUCAGGAGGCAGAGGUUGCAGUGAACCAAGAUCACGUCACUGCAGUCCAGCCUGGGUGACGGAGUGAGACUCUGUCUCCA